rnacentral:sRNA from 1 species
GGCGAUGAUUAUAUACUGCAAUUAUCCUCGAGUUCCAUGGCGGUAGCUGCAUACCAUUUGGUAUGUUGUCGUGGCUCUGUGAUGUUCAUAGCAGGGGUAAUGAGCCGCC